rnacentral:lncRNA from 1 species
GGGUGUCCCCACCUCCGCGCCGGGCCACCGAGCAGGGAGGGGGCGGGGUGCGUGUCGUUGUUCACUCUUUGUGCGGCGCGGCGCAGGCCGGGGCGGCGGCCCGGCUGCUUUGUCCUCGCCGGGUGGGGACGCAAGGUCCCGGGUGGGUCGAGGUGGAGGGGUUGGGGAUCGUCAGUGCUCUUGUCCCCUCCCCGAGCGUCCCGCACUCACCCUCCGGAACUACUGCGGGCCGUCCGCAGCUAGCUUGGGCCGAUCGGCCUCGGAUAAAGGUCGCAGGUCCCCGAGGCCGCAGAGGCGACAACGCACAGAGCCAGGCUCACGCUCUGUGGCCCGGGGCUGUAGCCUCCUGGGCCACCCUUCUUCAUGUUUGUUAUGGUGUGGCGGAGGCCGCCAGGCUCGCUGGAGCAGGGGGAGGCUGGGUUGAAAGGAGGCCCAGCGGUGUUGGGUUACCGGCGGUGAGUCACAGUCCCCUCCAGCCGCCGAGGCCCUGCAGGCCCCCAGCUCCGGCACGGUCAGGGCAGGGCCCUCCUGGAGCAACCGCGGAGCCUGGAAAGUCCCCGAGAGGGAUGCUUCGGAACCCCGGCUCUCUCAGGGAGAAAGGCGGAGUCAGGAACGAAGGGAGGCUCGAAGGAGGAACCCGGCCCUUCUCCAGGGCUCCGAUCUCCCGGUAAAGUUCGGGAGUCCAACAGGGACCAACACCUAAGAGGAGGGAAGUGGGGGCCUGGAUGGAGCUGGGUCCCCUGAGCUGCCCAGCGCCAUUGGAAAGACCCCUUUCCGACAAACCAAGGCUCUGAGAUAAGCCUAGGCCUUGGCCUGCUGAGCAGUUCCUUGUCCAAGCCAGAGGCCACUUGCAGGCCUCUUGACCCCCUCAGGCGAUGGGAAUUUUCCUUUGACUAAAACGGCCAGAUCUCACCCCACCAGGUGAAGGUCAGGCAGGAAGGCCUCCCAGCAAGGCUGCCCUGGUUCUCCUGAGAUGAAGGGAGGAAAAAUAAGACAUGAAAAAAUUAAAGGUAUCUUGAGAAAUUUUUUAAAGUAAUUUCACAUAAAUUACAUUGUUCCACACUAGGGUGGGAAGACCGACCAGGAAGAGCAUCUGGUGUAGUCUCCAAGUACUGGCACUUCCUUCUGCAGCCCUCAGGUUCCUCCCGCCCUCCAAAUUCCUUCUGACUUCACUCUUGUCUACUUCUCACCUUACACUGGACUCUAGCAACAGCCUGUCUUCUCGAGACGCCCCUCGCCCCCACCCCUGUUGUCAGAGUCAUGGCCUGAAACACACCCAUUGUCGGCCCUCACUCCUCCGCUCAGUUCUGGACUUGAUAAUGGUCUUAUCUCCAAACUUUAUUUACUUAUCUUACUGAUGCCUGAAACCCUCGGCCGGUCCCUGCCUACCUUAAAAGCACUCACAUAAGACAAAAAAACGCAAAGACCAUGCCCCAGUCUAUUCGUUCCACUAGCCCUUUCAGGGACACCCUCUCCUUCCCCUCCCCCUCCCCAUUCCCCAUCCUGAAACUGUAGGCAGCUUUUAAAUGGUCUGUAGACAUCCCUGCAUGUAGAUUGAGAGACAAGUUGGUGGCCUGCAGGGAGAGCUCCCACCCCCACCGGAUUGGUUGGAUGACUUAAUCUCUUAAGACUUUCAUUUGUUCU